UCCCAGGUGGCUCAGUGGUAAAGAAUCUGCCUGUAAUGCAGGAGAUGCAGGUUUGAUCCCUGGGUUGAGAA
rnacentral:tRNA from 1 species